CCCUACGGGGCGCAGCAGUGGGGAAUAUUGGACAAUGGGCGCAAGCCUGAUCCAGCCAUACCGCGUGUGUGAAGAAGGCCUUUUGGUUGUAAAGCACUUUAAGCGAGGAGGAGGCUCUCGAGGUUAAUACCCUUGAUGAGUGGACGUUACUCGCAGAAUAAGCACCGGCUAACUCUGUGCCAGCAGCCGCGGUAAUACAGAGGGUGCGAGCGUUAAUCGGAAUUACUGGGCGUAAAGCGCGCGUAGGCGGCUUGUUAAGUCGGAUGUGAAAUCCCCGGGCUCAACCUGGGCACUGCAUUCGAUACUGGCAAGCUAGAGUAUGGGAGAGGAAGGUAGAAUUCCAGGUGUAGCGGUGAAAUGCGUAGAGAUCUGGAGGAAUACCGAUGGCGAAGGCAGCCUUCUGGCCUAAUACUGACGCUGAGGUGCGAAAGCAUGGGGAGCAAACAGGAUUAGAUACCCCGGUAGUCCU
rnacentral:rRNA from 1 species